rnacentral:rRNA from 1 species
GGUUCGAUUCUGGCUCAGAUUGAACGCUGGCGGAUGCUGCAUACACGGUCAAACGCGUAUCGGACUUCGGUCUGGUAUGAGUGGCGAACGGGUGAGUAAUGUAUCGGAACGUGCCUAGUAGCGGGGGAUAAUUCACGCGAAAGCGUAGCUAAUACCGCAUACAGCCUUCGGGUAAGCGGGGACCUUCGGGCCUGCACUAUUAGAGCGGCCGAUAUCGGAUUAGCUAGGUUGGUGGGGCAACGGCUUCAAUCAAGGCGACGAUCCGUAGCUGGUUUGAGAGGACGACCACAGCCACACUGGGACUGGAGAUACGCCCAGACUCACGGAGUGCAGCAGGGGGAAUUUUGGACAAUGGGAACCUGAUCCAGCCAUCCCGCGUGCGAUGAAGGCCUUCGGGUUGUAAAGCACUUUUGGCAGGAAAGAAACGGCACGGAUAGCCAUCUCGUGCAACUGACGGUACCUGCAGAAUAAGCACCGGCUAACUACGUGCCAGCAGCCGCGAUAAUACGUAGGGUGCAAGCGCGACCGAAUUACUGGGCGUAAAGCGUGCGCAGGCGGUUCGGAAAAAGAAGAUGUGAAAUCCCAGAGCUUAACUUUGAACUGCAUUUUAACUACCGAGCUAGAGUGUGUCAGAGGGAGGUGGAAUUCAUGUAGCAGUGAAAUGCGUAGAUAUGGAGGAACACCGAUGGCGAAGGCAGCCUCCUGGGAUAACACUGACGCUCAUGCACGAAAGCGUGGGGAGCAAACAGGAUUAGAUACUUCCUGGUAGUCCAUGCCCUAACGACGUCAACUAGCUGCCAGCCCCUGGGCCUUGGUAGCGCAGCUAACGCGUGAAGUUGACCGCCUGGGGAGUACGGUCGCAGAUUAAAACUCAAAGGAAUUGACGGGGACCCGCACAAGCGGUGGAUGAUGUGGAUUAAUUCGAUGCAACGGCGAAAACCUUACCACUUGACAUGUCUGGAAUCCCGAAGAGAUUUGGGAGUGCUCGUGGCGCAGAACCGAACACAGGUGCUGCAUGGCUGCCGUCAGCUCGUGUCGUGAGGAUGUUGGGUUAAGUCUCGCAACGAGCGCAACCCUUGUCAUUAGUUGCUACGAAAGGGCACUCUGACGAGAUUUGCCAGGACAAACCGGAGGAAGGUGGGAUGACGUCAAGUCCUCGCUGGCCUUAUGGGUAGGGCUUCACACGUCAUAUAAUGGUCGGGACAGAGGGUCGCCAACCCGCGAGGGGGGAGCCAAUCCCAGAAACCCGAUCACCGGAUCGCAGUCUGCAACUCAGACUGCGGAAGUCAACGCGAAGUAAUCGAUCAGCAUGUCGCGGUGAAUACGUUCCCGGCCCGUAAGACACCGCCCGUCACACCAUGGGAGUGGGUUUUACCAGAAGUAGUUAGCUCAACCGUAAGGAGGGCGAUUACCAUUGCAGGAUUCAUGACUGGGUGAAGUCGUACUACAG